GGGGAUGCAAUGCAUCGACAGAAAUUGCUCUUUUACAACUGCAAGCCGGCGAUGGUUCACAGCCGUAAAAUAGGACCAAAAAUACACGGUAAGUUUAAUCUUACCCAGGGUCUCAAACGCGUUUUCGCGGAUAGAGACAUGUUUAAAGUAGGGCAACCUGCUUUUAACUUCGCUUAAUAGCGCCUUGCUUACGCCCUUUCUUUUCUUAACGGAUAAGCGUAGGUAAAAACCUUGUUAAGAUAGGGUUCAAGAGUUGAUCGACCUUGAAUUAGAAAAAUUAGAUCUUGGAAUUGUUUUCCCUGUUAAUUGGGUCAGAACAAAACGACAAUUUAAAGAUUAACUACGCUUGUAGAUGUUGUAAUAAGUCAUUUUUGGACGGGAGAUCAAACUCCCCAUCUCCACAC
rnacentral:tmRNA from 1 species